GCCCGGAUAGCUCAGUUGGUAGAGCGCCAGACUUUUACUUAAGAUACGACGAUAUCUGGUGGUCGCGGGUUCGAGCCCCGCUUCGGGUA
rnacentral:tRNA from 1 species